rnacentral:rRNA from 1 species
ACGUACACUCCUACGGGAGGCAGCAGUGGGGGAUAUUGGACAAUGGGCGCAAGCCUGAUCCAGCCAUGCCGCGUGAGUGAUGAAGGCCCUAGGGUUGUAAAGCUCUUUCACCGGUGAAGAUAAUGACGGUAACCGGAGAAGAAGCCCCGGCUAACUUCGUGCCAGCAGCCGCGGUAAUACGAAGGGGGCUAGCGUUGUUCGGAUUUACUGGGCGUAAAGCGCACGUAGGCGGACUAUUAAGUCAGGGGUGAAAUCCCGGGGCUCAACCCCGGAACUGCCUUUGAUACUGGUAGUCUUGAGUUCGAGAGAGGUGAGUGGAAUUCCGAGUGUAGAGGUGAAAUUCGUAGAUAUUCGGAGGAACACCAGUGGCGAAGGCGGCUCACUGGCUCGAUACUGACGCUGAGGUGCGAAAGCGUGGGGAGCAAACAGGAUUAGAUACCCCAGUAGUCCCAUGA